AACGAACGCUGGCGGCAGGCUUAACACAUGCAAGUCGAACGCCCCGCAAGGGGAGUGGCAGACGGGUGAGUAACGCGUGGGAAUCUACCCAGUUCUACGGAACAACUGAGGGAAACUUCAGCUAAUACCGUAUACGCCCUAAGGGGGAAAGAUUUAUCGGAAUUGGAUGAGCCCGCGUUAGAUUAGCUAGUUGGUGGGGUAACGGCCUACCAAGGCGACGAUCUAUAGCUGGUCUGAGAGGAUGAUCAGCCACACUGGGACUGAGACACGGCCCAGACUCCUACGGGAGGCAGCAGUGGGGAAUAUUGGACAAUGGGCGCAAGCCUGAUCCAGCCAUGCCGCGUGAGUGAUGAAGGCCUUAGGGUUGUAAAGCUCUUUCAGUAGGGACGAUAAUGACGGUACCUACAGAAGAAGCCCCGGCUAACUUCGUGCCAGCAGCCGCGGUAAAAC
rnacentral:rRNA from 1 species